rnacentral:rRNA from 1 species
GUAGGGAAUAUUGCGCAAUGGACGAAAGUCUGACGCAGCGACGCCGCGUGAGUGAUGAAGGCCUUAGGGUCGGAAAGCUCUGUUGAAUGGGAAGAAAAAAAUGCCGGUACCAUUCGAGGAAGGACCGGCUAACUUCGUGCCAGCAGCCGCGGUAAUACGAGGGGUCCUAGCGUUGUUCGGAAUCAUUGGGCGUAAAGGGUGUGUAGGUGGCCAUGUAAGUCAGGUGUGAAAGCCCCGGGCUCAACACGGGAAGUGCACUUGAUACUGCGUGGCUUGAGUACCGAAGAGGGUAGUGGAAUUCCAGGUGUAGUGGUGAAAUACGUAGAUAUCUGGAGGAACACCGGUGGCGAAGGCGGCUACCUGGUCGAGUACUGACACUGAGACACGAAAGCAUGGGGAUCAAACAGGAUUAGAAACCCUGGUAGUCC